rnacentral:lncRNA from 1 species
UCUUGCGACCUCUAAAAGAUUAGAAGAUAGAGAAUCUUUUUACAUUAAACAAUUUCUUUGUACAAAUCUGAAAUACCUGCAUCUUUGACACCAUAGGUGACUUAAUCGAAGUGGUAUCCAGUUUAUACUGUAAGCGUGUCUGGAAAUCCGGGUAGCUGAUUAUAGCAGACGGGAUGUCAAACCCUUGGUUAGCAUCCGGAGGAUACUCAUCUAUGUGCAAGAAACCCUGUCAUAGCAGUAACACAUCAGGGACACCUUAUCUUCAGACGGUGAGACGCUCAUCUUUUCAAUGAUAUCUCCAAGAGAUUGUGAUGCCCCAUCGACAUAUAUCUUUGUGGUAUGAUAAUAUACUUUUAUAUACCAAGGCACAAGUUGAAAAACAUCUACCCGCAAGUUACAUUUUUCUCCAUUGUUGUCGGCUUUUAAGAGGCUCUGACUCCAUUCUGUUGACUGCAAAGAGAGAGCAAUAGCACCCUUCUCAUUCCCACUUCCCAUUAGAAACCGACUUACACGUAAUGGCGCCUUCACACAUGACCAAGUUACCGGAAGCUUCCACCAGAAUCCCAAAUCAAACGGUUUAGAGCUAUGGUCAUUAUUAAUUGAGAAACCAUAUAAGAUAGAAUAGCCUUCUUUAUCGAUACUGUUAAUUUCUUUCAUCAUUCUGUCUGGAGAAACAGUAAAUCCAAAGUUUGAAUCACCCUCGUAACUGUCAAUACUGUUCCAUGUGUUUUUCAUGUUAUAAACCAAGCUCCCCUCAAGUUGAACGUAAACGUUACUAGACUUAGCAAGAGCGCAUUUUCCAUCAACCGUUUUUCCGAAUAAUGAACUCAUACUCCAGCUCGGUUGUAAUUUUCUACUGCCAGAGAAUGAAGGGUGAGUUUCCAAAGAAUCUGGUUGAAGAACAAUUGUGAGGGUUUGUUCAAGCAUGAUUCCAUGCAAAGCCACUGGAUCAAACUCAUCGGAAGUUAAAUGUAACCGUUGAGAAUGAUAAAAUCCACUGUAAAUUGACGGUCUGUUCAUUAAUGAGGAAAGCCCAGAUUUGUCUCGGCAUGGAAGUAAUUUUAACCACGGAGUCAGAUUCUCGGUGCAGACAGCCUCUCGAGGUAAUGAACCGUAUCGUAAAUUUCCUGAAAGUGAGCGAAAGCUCCAAUCAGGAGCAGAAUAGGCGGUGGAAGAUUCUAGAAAGUUGAUUGAAGCACAAAAAAGGCCUGAAAGUGUGUGUGUUAGGUUUUUCCAAGAAGCGUCAACCUGAUCUGGAGGAACAUCGAAAACAGCCCAUAAUUCGACUCCAGGAGGUUUGGCGUUGCUGCUUGCAAUAGGGUCAAAACCACCCCAGCUGUCGUAGUUCCAACGACCUUGAGUGAAGGAUAAUUCCAUUUGUUUUAUUCGGUAUUUGUGAACCUGUGUAAGCAGCAUAACAUCUUUUAUAAAUAUUUAUCGAGACAAAAUUCCAAGAUUGGGUUCCAUACUUCCAUCAUUUUGAGUUCGACAAGUUAACAGAGCUAUUAAACAUAUAAAUAAAUGUAUAUGUAUGGAAACACAUUCACCAUUAUGGAAAUUGUGGAUUAAAAUAAAGCGAAUCCAGAUUAAAUUUUCAACUGAAACAAACUACCUAAACAUUGGAGUUGCUAAUGCUACCUCAUUUCUAUGUAAAUAAAACAGAUAUUAGAACGAAGAAAAUGCAGAUCAAUUCAACUGAAAUAAAUCACAUCAGCAUGUCGUAUACUUCAUUUCUAAGACAAUCAUAACUCGAUAUGACUGCAGGGUAAGUUCUUUCAAAGCAAUCCUUAGGUCUAAAACCAAUAAGCACUCAAAAACAUGUCUAAAAUCGCUUUCUAUUACAGAUGCUCUUAGUAUGUUAGGAAUCUAAUUUCAUAACUUAAGAAACAAUACAAGUUCACUGACAUUCUGAUUAAAAACCCUAAGUUAAACCAAACACAUAAUCAACUAAAACAGAAUAACAAAAUCAACAAUAUACAACUUCACUAAUCAAUAAGUCAUUAAAACCCUAAGUCAACCACCACAAGAAUUAAACAUCUACAGAUUCCACAAAACACCAAAACUAUUAAACAAAGUAACUAUCAAUACUGCUGUAAUCAUACCAGCUGAUAAAUAGCUUUGGGAAAAAGCCGGUGGUGAUGUCCAUACGAAUUUGUAGGCGGAGCUCUACUCUCGAAGUGAAAAUGCGAAAGAACUUUCCGAUCAGGAAGCGGCCGGAACAACAGCUCCUCCGUGAAUUCUUCUUCUCCGGCGGAUUCAGAGGAAACGUGGAGUACGAAUAACAGUAAUAUGGAGAUUGAUAGAAAACGAGACAUGGCGAUGUGACUAUGUGAGGGUUUGCUAACGUGCGCUAUGGUAAUUCGGCCAUUGAAGCUUGCAGGAAGUUGAAAAUGUAGUUUCAGUGACGAUCCAAAUCAGAGAUCCCCCAAGCAAGUUCAUACCCGACACAGCAAACGGAUUGGGUUAUGGGAAAAUUGUUUUUAUAUUUUUUGAUUAAUUUUUAUAUUUUUUUGUUCAAAGGAUUUUUUUUUUUUUUAAUUUAACUUCAUUUUU